rnacentral:lncRNA from 10 species
CAAGUGCUUAAUGUGAAAGCAUGGUUUGCUUUAAUUCAUUUACUGCUCUCUUGAUAAUAAGAAAAGAUUCCGGUUUCAAUAAAAAGUGCAUGCCCUACUGAUAUCAGAGGGAAAGACAAUAGCAAACAGAAAGCGAGGGGGAGGCACGGUGGGGUGGAGAUGCCGGCAUGAUCUGCAUCCUGCGAGAAGGGCAUAACUGCAUGCUGCCCGUCUCUUCCAGCUUGACAGAAACAAUGAUCCUCUUCCUGACACAGAAUAAUGAGUUUUACUCAAGGACCAAGGAAGCAGAAUCUUUAAAUAAUAAUUUGUGUUCCUGUGAAGAACUGGAGCCCAGACAUACGAACUUGUCCUGAGACACAGAGUCACCGCGCAGGGCUAAUAUAUGCGCUGGGUGCUUGAGGUAAGAGGGAAGAAGAAAUAAACCGAUGAGGAGCGGGCCUCACAAGCUGAGCAUGGCUUAAAGGGGGAAGAGAAAAGGCACUUUCUUUCCCUGAACUUCAGCGGGUAAGAAAUUCUAUAUACAUGAUUUUACCCCAGUGAGGCUCUAUUUUGCAGAGUGAGAAACUGAGUAAAGAUUAGGAACCUGCCAAGAGCAAAUAUUUCAUUAAGUAGCAGAGCCAGGAUUGAAACUUGAGCCUAAGUCUCUGGCUGAACUGCGUGUCCUGAGCUCCAGGUUCCAGGGGUAUAUCUUUGUGUUCCUGUGGGGUAUCUUCACAUAUGGACCCAAUAGUCCCGGGCAGCCAUAACCAGUCAGUAUGCAAAACACACCUGAUUCUUUUCCCUCUCUAUGCUAUGUUGUUUAUGUUUAGGUACCAUAUCCCUCACUUUACCCUGCCAGCACAAGUAUACACUCAUGCAUUUUUUUUCAUAUUUUUAUUAAAAAC